rnacentral:rRNA from 1 species
GAUGAACGCUGGCGGCGUGCCUAAUACAUGCAAGUCGAGCGAACGGACGAGAAGCUUGCUUCUCUGAUGUUAGCGGCGGACGGGUGAGUAACACGUGGAUAACCUACCUAUAAGACUGGGAUAACUUCGGCAAACCGGAGCUAAUACCGGAUAAUAUUUUGAACCACAUGGUUCAAAAGUGAAAGACGGUCUUGCUGUCACUUAUAGAUGGAUCCGCGCUGCAUUAGCUAGUUGGUAAGGUAACGGCUUACCAAGGCAACGAUGCAUAGCCGACCUGAGAGGGUGAUCGGCCACACUGGAACUGAGACACGGUCCAGACUCCUACGGGAGGCAGCAGUAGGGAAUCUUCCGCAAUGGGCGAAAGCCUGACGGAGCAACGCCGCGUGAGUGAUGAAGGUCUUCGGAUCGUAAAACUCUGUUAUUAGGGAAGAACAUAUGUGUAAGUAACUGUGCACAUCUUGACGGUACCUAAUCAGAAAGCCACGGCUAACUACGUG